UUGUGGCUAAUAUAGAAACAAUUGCCUGACUUGAGAGACUAGCAUUUACCUGUACAUCAUGAUUAUCUCUAUAAAACCUCUUAGCGACUUGCUGCUGCCGGAGUCUGCAAGGUUUUCUUACCAGAAAGUGUGUUUGUUGUGCAGGCCUUCUGCAUCCAGGGGAUCUGCUGGUGGAGGUGAAUGGGAACCCUGUAGAAGGACUGGACCCAGAACAGGUCAUACAGAUACUGGUCCAAUCUCAAGGCACAAUUUUGUUCAAAGUGAUUCCAAACACCCCACAAUCAACUAAGAGCCAACAGCCAGCCUUGCUGUAUGUGCGGGCCAUGGCAGACUACUGCCCCCUGCAGGACCCAGCUAUCCCCUGUCCUGACGCUGGCAUGGUCUUCAGUAGAGGAGACCUGCUGGAGAUAGUUGACCAGACAGACAUCCACUGGUGGCAGGCAAGGAAGCUGCCCAGUGCCUCAGCCUGCGCCGGCCUCAUCCCCUCCACCAGUCUGCU